rnacentral:rRNA from 1 species
GAAUUGUAGUCUGGAGUAGCANCUCCUGGUGNNNUGCCNGCCCAAGCAUCUUGGAAUAGAUCGCCUCAGAGGGUGAGAGCCCCGUAGGUUGGUANNNNCUCCUUCACGGAGUGCUCACGCAGAGUCGGGUUGUUUGGGAAUGCAGCCCCAAUUGGGUGGUAAACCCCAUCUAAGGCUAAAUACCUGUGGGAGACCGAUAGCAAAAAAGUACCUCGAGGGAACGAUGAAAAGACCGCUGGCAAGCGAGUGAAAGAGUGCAUGAAAUUGUAUAGUGGGAAGGGAUGGCCGGGCGUGCUGCCCNCGGGUAUACACUGCUCUUUGAGCUCUUGAAUACACCGUGGGCUGGNUGGUGCCGACACCUGCGCUUGCAAAUCCCCAAACUAAGGUGUUUGGUUCUUCAAGCG